AUGAAUAUAGAAAAUGAGCAGAUACUGAAUGUAAAGCCCACAGAUCCUGAUAAUUUAAGCGAGUCUCUCUUUUCUGGUGAUGAAGAAAAUGCUGGGACUGAAGAAAUAAAAAAUGAGAUAAAUGGAAAUUGGAUUUCGGCAUCCUCCAUUAACGAAGCUAGAAUUAAUGCCAAGGCAAAAAGGCGCCUGAGGAAAAACAUCCCGGGACUCUGGCAGAGGCGAUUCAGUCAGUGAUAAUGGAAGUGAAGCCCUUAGAAGUGGAGUAACUGUACCAACCAGUCCAAAGGGAAGGUUGCUAGAUAGGAGAUCCAGAUCUGGGAAAGGAAGGGGACUACCAAAGAAAGGUGGUGCAGGAGGCAAAGGUGUCUGGGGGACACCUGGACAGGUAUAUGAUGUGGAGAAGGUGGACGUGAAAGAUCCUAACUAUGACGACGACCAGGAGAACUGUGUUUAUGAAACUGUAGUUUUGCCUUUGGAUGAAACAGCAUUUGAGAAGACUUUAACACCAAUCAUACAGGAAUAUUUUGAGCAUGGAGAUACUAAUACAGUUGCGGAAAUGCUGAGAGAUUUAAAUCUUGGUGAAAUGAAAAGUGGAGUACCAGUGUUGGCAGUGUCCUUGGCAUUGGAGGGAAAGGCUAGUCAUAGAGAAAUGACAUCUAAGCUUCUUUCUGACCUUUGUGGGACAGUAAUGAGCACAAAUGAUGUAGAAAAAUCAUUUGACAAAUUAUUGAAAGAUCUACCUGAAUUGGCAUUGGAUACUCCUAGAGCACCACAGUUGGUGGGCCAGUUUAUUGCUAGAGCUGUUGGAGAUGGAAUUUUAUGUAAUACCUAUAUUGAUAGUUUCAAAGGAACUGUAGAUUGUGUACAGGCUAGAGCUGCUCUGGACAAGGCUACUGUGCUCCUGAGUAUGUCUAAAGGUGGAAAGCACAAAGACAGUGUGUGGGAUUCUGGAGGUGGGCAGCAGUCUGUUAAUCACCUUGUUAAAGAGAUUGAUAUGCUACUGAAAGAGUAUUUACUCUCUGGAGACAUAUCUGAAGCUGAACAUUACCUCAAGGAACUGGAAGUACCUCAUUUUCACCAUGAGCUUGUAUAUGAAGCCAUUGUAAUGGUUUUAGAGUCAACUGGAGAAAGUACAUUUAAGAUGAUUUUGGAUUUAUUAAAAUCUCUUUGGAAAUCUUCUACCAUUACUCUAGACCAAAUGAAAAGAGGUUAUGAGAGAAUUUACAAUGAAAUUCCAGACAUUAAUCUGGAUGUCCCACAUUCAUACUCUGUGCUUGAGCGAUUUGUAGAAGAAUGUUUUCAGACUGGAAUAAUUUCCAAACAACUCAGAGAUCUUUGUCCUUCAAGGGACAGAAAACGUUUUAUAAGUGAAAGAGAUGGAGGUCGUCUUAAACCAGAGAGCUACUGAAUAUAAGAACUCUUACAGUCUUAGAUGUUAUAAAAAAUAUAUAAAUAUAUCUGAAUUG